AGAACUCCAGGCUAGAAUCUGUCCACACAGGCUGGUUGAUGAUGGAAACUUCAGUGAUGUGGAGGGGUUGAAUGUUGCGGUGCCAGAGCCACAUAACAGUUUAUCCAGGGUGAUCUCUAGCACCCUAAAAAGCCAUUCUUUGUCCCGCUGUGUGUCAGAUUUAACACCCUGCUACCAGCCGGACCUAACAUCUGACAGUUCUGUGGAAAAUUGUUUUGUUUGCAAAACAAGGAACUGACAUGAAUUCUGAGACACUUUCUGAGGUCAUGAGUUCUGGAAACUUCUUUGCUGCAGGAGCUGCAGGUAUCAACAGGAACAUAAAGUUGGGAGCCAGCUGUGGGAAGAAACAGGGCCCCCUUCCAGGCCUGGCUGAACACUGAGUACAAACUGCUGAGAGAAAAAGCAAAACUAGGCAGAAUAAGGACAAAGGAGACAACAGGAGGAGACGGCUGAGAACUCUUCCUUUCUUGGGGAGUGAAACAGAGCCAGGGAGUGACGGAGGACACCGGCGUGGUUCCGAACACGGAGGAAACAGGGGAAGGUGCUCUGGAAAGCUAACGUGGCCACUUCAACCACAUCACCUCCUGACGACCAGGAAAGCCAUUUCACUGAAAUGAGCAGCAGGAAAGCAUUGAGUGAAAUCCUGUGAAUGUUGUUGUAAGAAGUCAUACACCACCACACUGGUCAGAAUCACUAGAAACAGAAGCAAAGCCAAGGCGUGUCUGUCCUGGGUCAUCUGUUCUGGUUGGAGGCCACACUCCUGACUACCUACAAUGAGUUAAACUAGUCUAACGCAAGCUAUGACGCUCACGGUGGGUGGCUUCUUCCUCCCACUCAGUCAACAACUUUCUGUUCAGUCCAAACUUCCUCCUAGUUGCCAUAGAUUUACAACUAGAGGUAUGUGCCAGACCACCCCAU